CAGGACAUAAUUUAAAAAGAAUAUUGGCUUUGGGGGCCAUAAGUAGAGGUUUGACUCCUUUUGUCCUGA
rnacentral:tRNA from 1 species